rnacentral:lncRNA from 1 species
AGUCAGUCAUGUAUGUCAGUUUCCUUCCAUUGAGUCCUGGGGGUACUUGUACCCGAAAGAUAUAGCUGUGUACCUAGAGCCAUGUCAUGUUAUCACGAUAAUAUCAGUCAAUCCAUGAUCUAUAGAACUUAGUCGGGCAUGUGACUCAGGAAACCUCAGAAAUCUCAUGAUUUCAGUUAAUUCUCAAAUAGUAGCACUAAUCCGUCAGUUACUCAGUCCAUGUACCAUCAGUUAAAUCACGUUCAGUCUCUUCAGAU